CUAAGGCAAAAAAGUCCUUCAGAGUCACAUGUGGAAAAUGUGGAGAGACUGGCCCAAAUGCUAAGACCUGCAAGGGAGCUCCUAAGGCUGGAACUAAUCCUAAAGGAAAGGUCAAGGAAAAAUCCAAGGAAAAGUCAACUGCAACAUAAGAAGAGGUUCAGGUUUCUCAAUUGGCACCCGUAACUCAGCCUGAGGCACCAACAAAUGCUACUGUACCAGAUGUUGGAAUAAAUGUGAAUGCUGCAACUGAAAGACAAACUCAGCCUCAGCAGCCUUUUAAACGUCCAAAGCAGACAAUAAUUAGGCCCAAGAGACAGAAAAAUGUGAGUGUUGAGACAAUGGCAACUGCAAGUAGUGGCAUAACCUCCAGAAUAUUCAAAUUCAUUCCAACACCUGGACUGAACCUCUCUAAGAAGAAAUGAUGCUUUGGAAGAAAUUUAUUGUGAAAGGGACAAG